rnacentral:tRNA from 1 species
UAAAUUAUAGCUUAAUUAAAGUAUUUCAUUUACAUUGAAAAGAUAUUAAAUAUUAAUUAAUUUUA